GACCUCGUAGAUUAGAUUGGUCACGCCACCUGUCAAUCAUCUGACCAAGCUUGCGCGUCUCCGGCAAAAUGACUUCGUAUUUUGAGGAGCAUAACUGUGAGCCGACGAAUCCCGAGGAGCAGUAUCGACAGAACGCGUUGUUAGAGCUGGCCAGGUCUCUUUUAGCAGGGAUUGAUCUAGACCUGGGACAAGUAGACUUUUCUGACUGGGAUCACAGACUACCGCCUGCAGCUAAGAAGGAGAUUGUGAAAAAUCUCCCUUCUAUUCCUGUAACACCAGCACAGGCAGACAAGGGCCUCAAAUGCCCGGUUUGCUUAUUAGAAUUUGAGGAAGAAGAGGUUGUGAAGAAAAUGCCAUGUGAACACUUCUUCCAUUCUGAUUGUAUUUUGCCCUGGUUAGGAAAGACCAAUUCAUGCCCUUUGUGCAGACUUGAAUUACCCACUGACAAUGAAGAGUAUGAAGAAUACAAGCAAGAGAAGGAGAGAAGAAAAGAGAAGGAGCAGCGUUUGGAAAAUUUGCACGAUGCCAUGUACACGUGACCACCAGCAGGUGACCCUCCUGGAAACAUUCUCAUCUUCAACAUUCAAAGUAAAUUUGUUAUCAAAAUCACACCUCUUGAGCCAUAGUCAUCUGGAGGUACGUUCAGCAGCCUCUGGGGCGGUCCUGAAGGCUCUCAGUCCCUGUAAUGCCAAGGAGAGAAUUUUCACCAUGAUGUCUUCCAUGAAGGUUCUGAUUUUGGGGGGUGGAGGGGAGCUGCUGCACACUUGUCUUAGGGGGCCUCCACACUCCACUUGGGUUGCCUUAACCUGCUUGUACAUCUGCUUAUAAUGCCCUUCUCGAGCCAAUGCCAGCCUAAUGUGGUUGUUCCUGAGGCGAGACUCAAUCUGAACUUCCUGUAGUAGUCUAGGACGAGGUCCCUUAUCUUCCUUGGAACAUGAUGUCAGUUCAGCGCGAUCUCCACCAGCUUGUGUGGUAGUGACCUGUACACGUUGGCGAGGUCUAGCCGCAGUAGGACUAGGUCAUCCUUUCCUUUGCACUGGGGACCCAUGCCCAUGUGAUCCAGGCAUCUUGGCACACUGAGAAUCCCUCCCUUCUGUACAGAUGUAUCAAUGUAGCCAUUUUUGAGAAAAAAAACUUGGGCGACAGGAAGCGAUACUGAAAAAUAUCUUCCCCUUCCACACUGAGCAGCAAAUGUAUCUAAACUGUUCACUGUGCUUGGAGUUCUCUUUGGGGAUCCGGACUCCCUCUGCAACCUCCACUAGUUAGUGACCUUUCCCUUAUGUCAGAUUACCCUAUCUGUUCUGAAGGUGUGGAUCCAUCUCUAGUUUGGUACAUAUGAGGUGCGCGCUAUGCUUCUGUCCAAGCAGCUGAAUCCCAUUGGGUUGUGGCUCGCUCUCUUCCCUGUCUUUUAUGCCAUUCUGCCUUGUACAGUGCCAUAAGCAUAUGAUUUACAGAGCUUAGCAAGUGUUGGUUUCUCUCUUUCACUUGUUUCCCUGCGCCUGCCCGUACUGUUUAGUUAGGAUUGGAGCUCCUGAUUAGCUGGUGUAUUUUGGCCGGCCCAUGGUCCAUUGGAUAGGGGACUUUGCUGGUUUUCUUCUCCACUAAGCCAAAUCUCUUAGCAACAAAGCUGACAGUGAUAGCUGACUGUUCUGCAGCUGUCUUAACUACAUCCUCCUUCAAUGAUUUGGAGUACAUCCUCAAACUGUAGUCGCUCCCUCUGAUGGCUUGUUGGAGGCCACAUAACCUGCCAGUGAUUUGCUACUCUGCCUGGAGUGAGAGUUUCUAGCACUUGAAGGUUCUGGGCACUGUGGGAACCUACUACAUCUCACCAGGAAUGAAUCGUAAGCGCAAAUGCAUCUGUCACUUUUAAUUGAUGAUCUUUUCGCAAAGGUUGACAUUCUAGAGUCCGUCCUGGCAAAGUGCUCAUCCUCCCCUCUCUCUUGGGUACCCCUGGGUUAUGUCUCAGAAGGUCUGUUCAUAGUUUAUAGGGUUUCUUCCUCUCAGAAGAUGAAGGUUGGUUUGCUAGCCCUUCCUCCCCUGGUUGCCAUCUUUCUGAGCUGGCAACUGUCUCUCCAGUAGUCACCAACCUGUUCUUUGUUGUCACCCACACUGAUACAAAUCUAAAAGGAAAAUUGCUAAAGAAAUUCCAUCUUUUAAAUUCAUUGUGUUUAGUCUUGGUAUUUUUAUUUCACAAUUUUAUCUUUGCAAUUACUUUGGAUCUGUUUAUAUAAUGUAUUAAAAUCAAAUUUAAUUGUAAAAGUUAAAUAGCUAAAAACAAAUGUACUUAAUAAAAACAUUAA